UCAGCCAGAGUGGGGAUCAUUUUGUCAGCAUAGAAAGUUAAAAUACUUCACAAAGCCUUUGUCCAAAAGUUUUCCUUUUUUUUUUGACUUUAUUUUAUUAAGAUUUAGGCUACAUUAUUUUUAAACCUUUGGCCUGUGAGUCAAAAGUUGAGACUCUGUUUCUUACCAGGACUAUUCUAGCCUGGGUUAUGUUUCUUCAUGGGUAGAUUCAAUCUGGGGUCAUUGUUUUCAUUUGUGCUAUGAAGGGCUUUGUUGAGGGAAAUGUGGAAUAAAGGAUUGCACAAAUUAUUGCAGUGGUUGCCGCUGUCUUUGAGCAGUUCCCACACAAUGAGCAAGCAAGUGUCAACUGGCAAUAGGAAAAUAGUAACUAUGACCUUAGAGUAUUUCUCUGAUUGUGAAGUCCAGCUACUUCUGCAGGAAGUAGGAAAAUCAUCGUUAAGUCCAUUCACGGUUAAACUUGGAAUACAUCUGUCAUGUGCAGGAUUCUGAGAAGGCACACAGAUCAACUAGACUUCUGCAUGAUGCUGCUUUGUGAAUUAAAAAAACAUGUAAGUGACACACAAUGAACUUGGCAUACAGCCUUUGGUUUUGGCCUCAAAUCAGCCAGCCACGUAGCUGCAGCAGAUCCUUCUCCUUGAUGGUCAAAAUACACCCAUCGAAUGCUUUGGCUCACUCACUCCUUUGAGGAAAGCUGGCAUCUGACAUGGAAGUUCCGUUUCCUCUCCCUGGAAAUGAGCUGAAUUCCUGACCCACAAAAGCUCACACAACUAGAUGGCUCACUGGGAUGAGUCAUUUGCAACACUGUUCUAGUCACACUUGGCCUCACACACCUUCAUUAUUUAUCAGUUUUAAAAGCCAAAUGCACAAGUGGCUGUUGUCCAGAGUGUGGACAGUGAUCUGCUUAUGCAUCAUUCGACUCCCCCAGGGCACACAGAGCUGGGCCUCAGGUUGACCUCUGAUGACAGAAGCAUCCAGAGCCCAGGGGCCUCUGAUUCAGGGUUGCUGUCAGGGGAGUUUCAUCGUGUCCUCCCCAAGGACAAGUUGCAGGCCUGGAGAAGACCAAGUGGCAUUGAGGGAGGGCACUGCCGUGUGCCAGAGGGAACUCACUGUGCAUGCCUGGAUGGUCUCUCCAUCUUCCUCUCGUCCCCAGUGGGAGGCAGAAUGGCUUGUGCUCCUGUUUCCUUUCUUCCUCCCUUAUGUCAGAGAAUAUCUUUUUAGUCUGUUGUCCUCCACAGUUUUCUUGUCCUCAGUUUUCCACGAUCUUCCCUGGGUAUAUCUGAAGCACAUUAAUGCCAUUUCGCUCAUCUUUGGGACCUCAUCACCUGGUGCUUGGUGCAUCUUAAAUGCAUGAAUGAAUCAACUCAUGAAUGAAUCCAUUUUGACCAGCUUGGCACACACCACCCACACACACCAAAAUGCCAGCAGGCACAUCAUUCACGGAUAGAGAAUCGGAACAUAUUUCACCACUGGAGACACGUUCUUAUUGAUUCAGGAUCAAAACUGAGACGUGAUAAACCAAAGACGGUGGACGAACAAGUGGUUCUGUCCCACAUUCUGACAACUCUGGAAGGUCCAUCCAUGACCCUGAAAUUUGCCAAGGGACCAGACCGGCUGGAGCAGCCCAUAUUCUUAGAACUCACCAAUGUCUGAAUCCAAGGACAGUCAUUAUCUCUGUCAAAGUCACUGAUGACCAUGUUGUGGACUGAAGGUUCAUUGAAAAUGUAACUAAGAUGGAAGAUGAGAUUGGACAGAUUAGGGCGGACCCUUAUUCCAAUAUUACUGGUGUCCUUUUACAAAAAUAAGGGACAUGGACAGAUGCACUGGGGAGAACAUCCUGUGAAGAUGGAGGCAGCCGCUGGAAAGAAGUGCCUGAAAGCCAAGGGAUG